GGACCCGCACAAGUAGUGGAGCAUGUGGUUUAAUUCGAAGAUACGCGCAGAACCUUACCAACACUUGACAUGUUCGUCGCGACUCUAAGAGAUUAGAGUUUUCGGUUCGGCCGGACGAAACACAGGUGCUGCAUGGCUGUCGUCAGCUCGUGUCGUGAGAUGUUGGGUUAAGUCCCGCAACGAGCGCAACCCUCACUUUUAGUUGCCAUCAUUAAGUUGGGCACUCUGAAAGAACUGCCAGUGAUAAGCUGGAGGAAGGUGGGGAUGACGUCAAGUCCUCAUGGCCCUUACGUGUUGGGCUACACACGUGCUACAAUGGUAUCUACAACAGGAAGCAAGACUGCGAAGUUAAG
rnacentral:rRNA from 1 species